UGGUCAGGACACCAGUAUAAUCAGGAGAUGUUUGGCAGCAGGCCUCUUCAUGAAUGCUGCAGAACUGCAAAGGGAAGGAGAUGUGUACAUUUCAUUAACAACACGAGAGCCAGUUCAUAUUCAUCCAUCAUCAGCAUUGUUUAGAUGUAAACCUGCUUGUGUUGUUUACAACGAGCUCGUCAAAACAUCAAAGUGUUACAUGAGGU